CAUUCUCACGUCCGCAAGUAUGGAUACACACAGACACACACACAGACACACAGCCAAGCACAGGCAAAAGAACUUUCGUACGGAGAGCUCUGUUCUCUUGCCGCUAUAGAAUGCACUAAGAUUCUCUCGAGGCCGGGCCGGGGGCCGACGACUGUGUCACCGUUAUCGCGCUACAAAAGAGCAACUACUUCUUCAGACACGAACUAAUUACGAUCGCUGGCACGGCACGCCUCGUUGUUCCCUGCCAUCCCAUCCGGCUUUGAGUGUGGUGUGCCCCAGAAUAACCCUCCUCGUGCCGUCUGUAAAUGUAUUGUACCCAUAAUUGGAUCUGUUUAACAGGGAUUGCGUUCAACAACCGAAUCAGUAUGUCUCCAAUGACACCAUACACCAUACACCGCACUCACGACCUCUCAACCGUUCUGUUCGGUUCGGAUAAGCUGUGAUACGAAAUACUAGCUUAUUAAUUUAAAAUUUACUGGUAUACAUUAUGGUAGUGCCAUGUAUUAACCAUUUUAUGGAUACACUCUCCGACCCGUUUUAGGUACAUUUGCGGAACUAUUUUCUGAGUCCCGCCCAUAUGUAAAAUAUAUAGAAACCACUCAAAGGAAAUACAACGAAUAAAUGAAAUACCUAGGAUGUUUCAAAUAAUUCAAA